rnacentral:misc_RNA from 1 species
GGUGGGUGAACGGUGAGAGUCAGGUUGGGAUUUAAACAUGAACGCUGACUGCGAAUCAAAGGAUAAACAAUCGUGAUUGUUGUGUUGAAAUUAUUAACAACCAUGUCUAAAAUACCUGGAUAUGAUACCCACGACGAUGGUCCUGGCUUUGUCGGAAUUAGAUUUUGUCAAGAAUGCAACAAUAUGUUGUACCCAAAGGAAGAUAAGGAGAAUAAAGUGUUGAUGUAUGCGUGUAGAAAUUGCGACUUCAAACAGCUUGCAGACAGCAAUUGUAUCUACGUUAACAAAAUUAUGCACGAAAUCGAUGAGCUGACGCAUAUUGUUGCUGAUGUAAUAUCAGAUCCCACACUGCCAAGAACCGAGGAGCAUCCUUGUCCAAAAUGCAAUCACCGUGAAGCUGUAUUUUUCCAAGCCCAAACUAGGCGAGCAGAAGAAGAAAUGAGACUUUAUUACGUCUGCACAAACCAGCAUUGUUCUCAUAGAUGGACAGAAUAAAUUUUACAAUACUACUGGAUCAAUUCUCUGAUCACAAACUGAACCAGCAGUUCUGUUAUUCAUGAAAAAUGAUUUAAGAACUUUCUAUUUCAGAAUAUUUACGGAGUUAAAAAAAAUCCGAAUUAGCCUAUUGGAAUGAAUUACUUCUAAAAAUUAUAGUAGUAUAGUAAGGUAAUAUAAGCUUUAUUUUUUAAAGAAUAUAUUCGUUGUAAUUUGAAUUAUCGAAAUUCACUAACAGGUCUGAAUUUGUUGGAACCACACAUUUAUACAAUUAAAAGAUUAAUACAUAUGUCAUUUAACAAACUGCUCUAGAAAUGCUGUGUAAAAUAUCAAUGAGGUUUUGCUAUUUCAAAAUAGGAGAAUUGCCAAUCCUCAAUCUUACAGUGUAUUCUUAUGAAGAGAUAAGAAAUAUAUGUAAUUUGUAAAAAUAUAUCAUUUUAAAAGUGAGAUUAUAUGUACGUACAUACUUCGAUUAGUUUCGCCCACCCACGCGCGACCGUGAAUCGGCUAUAAUUUCAUCAUUUUUUCAAAGCGCGAUGACGGCUCUGUGUCAAUAUAUGUGAACUGCGCGUCCGAUACGUUCGUUCGAGACUUUUCAAUAGAAACGUUUCCAUUUCUGGAGCUAUCUCGAAGCAUCUGAGGUAAUCAGCUCCAAUUCACAGUUGUCUUGUCUACUCAGGGUCUGACCCGUAGCAUUGACAAUACAAACCUGUUCGAGGCAUGAAUCAUUGUGGUUACCUGCGAGGUUUAGUUAUUCAUCUUCGUUUAGUUUAAUUAAUGGGUUCAUCAUCAACGAAAAGUAAAGAUACAAACAUGAGCAGUGAAAAUACGUCAAGGUCAAGCAGCAGUAUGGGAAACGAAGAAAAUACAAGUAAUACAAGCAA